rnacentral:rRNA from 1 species
CAGCCGCCGCGGUAAUACGGAGGGUGCAAGCGUUGUCCGGAUUUAUUGGGUUUAAAGGGUGCGUAGACGGCCUAAUAAGUCAGUGGUGAAAGCCUCCAGCUUAACUGGAGAACUGCCAUUGAUACUGUUAGGCUUGAGUAUACUUGAGGUAGGCGGAAUUGACAGUGUAGCGGUGAAAUGCAUAGAUAUUGUCAAGAACACCAAUUGCGAAGGCAGCUUACUAAAUUAUAACUGACGCUGAGGCACGAAAGUGUGGGUAUCAAACAGGAUUAGAUACCCCUGUAGUCCCUGUCUCUUAUAC